CACCAUUGUCUUUGCGACUGGCCCAGAAUGGACAUGCAAAACACAGCAAACUAAAGAACAUUAGUUCACUCAAAAACAAUCGUGUUCAAGUCCAACAGAGAAAACAGGAUUCCGAGUGGGAGAAGUACCUCAUCUCGUGCUACACUCAGCGGAAAAUGUAGUUGACAGAAAAGUGGGAACGUCUACAUUUUUGUACCCUGUAAUGUCUUAAAAUAGGUGAUGACAAUGUUCUGCAGAAGGUUAUCCUUAAAUAGAGAUUUUCUGUUUUUGUAUUGGCUUUACAACACAACCGUGCCAUUUGUCAGCAUUUGCACCUAAGAUCCGAUGUUUCUGCUUAAAUCCUUGUCUGCAUAAAUCCUCUACCUUCUUUAACGUUUAGUACUAUACAAAAGUAUAUUGUUGUUUUCCUGAAAUUUAGUAUGUGCCACUGCUUGUUUGAAGAAAAAAAACUUGGAGAGCAUAACUGACUUGAAUUCAAAAUGUGCACCACAUGAUUGUCAUAAGUGACACACUAACUGACUGCAUGCUGAACAAUGUUUUGCUUUUGUUGAAUUUCUAAUUGAUUUUUGAGCCUAAUGAUGACUGAGUGGGCAACCAGCAUUUUUACAAUUGCUUUAGCUGUGCUCCAAAAGCAUAUCUUAUAUUCUUUUAUAGUUACACAUUUUAUUGUGGUAUAAGAACUGUGGCUUUGUGUUGUGUUGAAUAAAUGCCCUUGUUCAAGA